AUAGGCCGGCCUUCGGGCCAGAGGAGACAGGUGCCCCCCGGUUGUCGUCAGCUCGUUUCGUGAGAUGUUGGAUAAAGUCCGGUAACGAGCGCAACCUUUGUCCUUAGUUACCAGCACGUAAUGGUGGGCACUUUAAGGAGACUGCCGGUGACAAACCGGAGGAAGGUGGGGAUGACGUCAAGUCAUCAUGGCCCUUACGGCCUGGGCUACACACGUGCUACAAUGGUCGGUACAGAGGGUUGCCAAGCCGCGAGGUGGAGCUAAUCCCAUAAAACCGAUCGUAGUCCGGAUCGCAGUCUGCAACUCGACUGCGUGAAGUCGGAAUCGCUAGUAAUCGCGAAUCAGAAUGUCGCGGUGAAUACGUUCCCGGGCCUUGUACACACCGCCCGUACGGGCGGUGUGUACAUACCAGCCCCUUGGUAAGGUUCUUCGCGUUAAUC
rnacentral:rRNA from 1 species